AGGCUAACACACUGCAGUUGAGCGGUACAGAAAGUAGCUUGCUACUUUGCUGACGAGCGGCUGGACGGGUGAGUAAUGCUUGGGAACAUGCCUUGAGGUGGGGGACAACAGUUGGAAACGACUGCUAAUACCGCAUAAUGUCUACGGACCAAAGGGGGCUUCGGCUCUCGCCUUUAGAUUGGCCCAAGUGGGAUUAGCUAGUUGGUGAGGUAAUGGCUCACCAAGGCGACGAUCCCUAGCUGGUUUGAGAGGAUGAUCAGCCACACUGGGACUGAGACACGGCCCAGACUCCUACGGGAGGCAGCAGUGGGGAAUAUUGCACAAUGGGCGCAAGCCUGAUGCAGCCAUGCCGCGUGUGUGAAGAAGGCCUUCGGGUUGUAAAGCACUUUCAGUCAGGAGGAACAGGUUCAGUCAGUUAAUACCUGCUAGCUGUGACGUUACUGACAGAAGAAGCACCGGCUAACUCCGUGCCAGCAGCCGCGGUAAUACGGAGGGUGCGAGCGUUAAUCGGAAUUACUGGGCGUAAAGCGUACGCAGGCCGG
rnacentral:rRNA from 1 species